ensembl:ncRNA C02B4.11 ncRNA
UUCUCUUUGUCGCUAUCAUGAUCAACAACUAUUUAUAUGGUCAUGCGCAGUCUGCGUGUCUCCUGAUACACUAUUUCUAGAAUGGUCUUUUUGUUUUGAAACAUUCAAAUGAUUCCAGGAGGUUGGCCUCUUG